UACGGGGGGGGGCAAGCGUUGUUCGGAAUUACUGGGCGUAAAGGGCUCGUAGGUGGCCAACUAAGUCAGACGUGAAAUCCCCAGGCUCAACUUGGGAACUGCGUCUGAUACUGGAGGGCUUGAAUUCGGGAGAGGGAUGCAGAAUUCCAGGUGUAGCGGUGAAAUGCGUAGAUAUCUGGAGGAAUACCGGUGGCGAAGGCGGCAUCCUGGACCGAUAUUGACACUGAUGAGCGAAAGCUAGGGGAGCAAACGGG
rnacentral:rRNA from 1 species